CUACGGGUUGCAGCAGUUAGGAAUAUUGGACAAUGGGCGAAAGCCUGAUCCAGCCAUGCCGCGUGAACGAUGAAGGCCUUCGGGUUGUAAAGUUCUUUAGCCUGUGAGUAUAAUGAACGUAGCAGGAAAAUAAGCCCCGGCUAACUUCGUGCCAGCAGCCGCGGUAAUACGAAGGGGGCGAGCGUUAUUCGGAAUCACUGGGCGUAAAGCGUACGUAGGCCGUUACAUAAGUUAGAAGUGAAAGCCCAGGGCUUAACCUUGGAAUUGCUUUUAAGACUGUGUAACUAGAAUUCAGGAGAGGAUAGCGGAAUUCUCAGUGUAGCAGUGAAAUGCGUAGAUAUUGAGAGGAACACCAGUUGCGUAGGCGGCUAUCUGGACUGACAUUGACGCUGAGGUACGAAAGCGUGGGGAGCGAACAGGAUUAGAUACCCUUGUAGUC
rnacentral:rRNA from 1 species